AGCUCUCACUUGGAACAUUGAUGACUUGAUUCCUCCUAGCGAAAGAUAUAUAUACAACUUCAGUUCAAAACAAGAGCUUAAGAAGUGGCACUUGUAUUCCGAUUCUCAAUACGGAGGUUUAUCAUCAGCAGCUUUAGAGAUCACAAAUGCCGGAAAGGAACAAAGUGGUACUGGAGUUUUCUCUGGAAAUCUGUCUUUGGAUGUUACGGAGGGUACAAAAGAAGA